UGCCUAACACAUGCAAGUCGUACGAGAGUUUUUUACUCAAGUGGCGGACGGGUGAGUAACACGUGAGAAUUUGCCUUUAGGAGAGGGAUAACAAUUGGAAACGAUUGCUAAUACCUCAUAUGCUUGAGAGUGAAAUAGAAAUAUCUGCCUAAAGAAAAGCUCGCGGCUGAUUAGCUAGUUGGUAAGGUAAUGGCUUACCAAGGCGACGAUCAGUAUCUGGUUUGAGAGGACGAUCAGACACACUGGAACUGAGACACGGUCCAGACUCCUACGGGAGGCAGCAGUGGGGAAUUUUCCGCAAUGGGCGAAAGCCUGACGGAGCAAUACCGCGUGAGGGAAGACGGCCUAUGGGUUGUAAACCUCUUUUUUCAGGGAGGAAUAAAUGACGUGUACCUGAAGAAUAAGCAUCGGCUAACUCCGUGCCAGCAGCCGCGGUAAGACGGAGGAUGCAAGUGUUAUCCGGAAUCACUGGGCGUAAAGCGUCUGUAGGUGGUUUAAUAAGUCAACUGUUAAAUCUUGAGGCUCAACCUCAAACUCGCAGUCGAAACUAUUAGACUAGAGUAUAGUAGGGGUAACGGGAAUUUCCAGUGGAGCGGUGAAAUGCGUAGAGAUUGGAAAGA
rnacentral:rRNA from 1 species